GAUGAACGCUAGCUACAGGCUUAACACAUGCAGGUCGAGGGGCAGCAUGACCUAGCAAUAGGUUGAUGGCGACCGGCGCACGGGUGAGUAACACGUAUCCAACCUGCCGAUUAUUCCGGGAUAGCCUUUCGAAAGAAAGAUUAAUACUGGAUAGCAUAACGAGAAGGCAUCUUCUUGUUAUUAAAGAAUUUCGAUAAUCGAUGGGGAUGCGUUCCAUUAGUUUGUUGGCGGGGUAACGGCCCACCAAGACAUCGAUGGAUAGGGGUUCUGAGAGGAAGGUCCCCCACAUUGGAACUGAGACACGGUCCAAACUCCUACGGGAGGCAGCAGUGAGGAAUAUUGGUCAAUGGACGAGAGUCUGAACCAGCCAAGUAGCGUGAAGGAUGACUGCCCUAUGGGUUGUAAACUUCUUUUAUAUGGGAAUAAAGUGGGCCACGUGUGGCUUUUUGUAUGUACCAUACGAAUAAGGAUCGGCUAACUCCAUG
rnacentral:rRNA from 1 species